rnacentral:lncRNA from 1 species
ACCAAAGACUUGACCAUUCAAGGCACAGCUCCCUGUAACUACUAGACAUGGACACCGGUGUGAUUGAAGGUGGAUUAAAUGUCACUCUCACCAUCAGGCUACUUAUGCACGGAAAGGAAGUUGGCAGUAUCAUCCGAAAGAGCAGAGAAUCUGUUAAGAAGUUGCAAGAGAAGAGUGGGUGCACGUAUCAACAUCUCAGAAGGGAAUUGUCCUGAGAGAAUUAUCACUUUGGCUGGACCAACUAAUGCCAUCUUCAAAGCCUUUGCUAUGAUCAUUGACAAACCGGAAGAGGACAUAAGCAGCUCUAUGACCAAUAGCACAGCUGCCAGUAGACCCCCGGUUACCUGGUGGUUCCUGCUAGUCAGUGUGGCUCUCUUAUUGGAAAAGGUACAAGAUCAAGGAAAUAAGAGAGAGUACAGGGGCUCAGGUCCAAGCGGCAGGGAAUAUGCUCCCCAACUCAACUGAGCGGGCAAUCACUAUUGCUGGCAUUCUGCCAUCUAUCAUUGAGUGUGUCAAACAGAUCUGCGUGGUCAUGUUGGAGACUCCCAGUCUACCCUGAAGGGCAUGCUUACUAGCCCAAGCCCUCCAGUUCUCCAGUCAUCUUUGCAGGUGAUCAGGACAGGUACAGCACAGGCAGUACCUGUGCGAGCUUUCCCCACACCACCACGUCCAUGUGCCUCUACCGUGACCUGGAGGGACCACCUCUAGAGGCCUGUACCAUUCAAGGACACUAUGCCAUGCCACAGCCAGAUUUGACCAAGCUGCACCAGUAGGCAAUGCAACAGUCUCAUUUUCCCAUGACCCAUGGCAACACCGGAUUCAGUGGCAUUGAAUCCAGCUCUCCAGAGGUGAAAGGCUAUUUGGGUUUGGAUGAAUCUGCUCAAACUACUUCUCAUGAACUCACCCUUCCAAAUGAUUUGAUUGGCUGCAUAAUUGGGCGUCAGGGUGCCAAAAUCAAUGAGAUCCGUCAGAUGUCUGGGGCGCAGAUCAAAACUGCAAACCCAGUGGAAGGAUCUACUGAUCGGCAGGUUACCAUCACUGGACCUGCUGCCAGCAUUAGCCUGGCUCAGUAUCUGAUCAAUGCCAGGCUUUCCUCAGAGACAGGUGGCAAGGGGAGCAGCUAAAACACAGCAGAUUCAUCCAUAAUCCCUUUCUGCUGUUCACCACCACCCAUGAUCCAUCUGUGUAGUUUCUGAACAGUCAGUGAUUUCCAGGUUUCAAAUAGUUUGUAAAUUUUCAGUUUCUACACACUUUAUCAUCCACUCAUAAUUUUUUAAUUAAGGUAUUUUAA